rnacentral:rRNA from 1 species
UGCAGUCGAACGGUAACAGGAAGCAGCUUGCUGCUUUGCUGACGAGUGGCGGACGGGUGAGUAAUGUCUGGGAAACUGCCUGAUGGAGGGGGAUAACUACUGGAAACGGUAGCUAAUACCGCAUAACGUCGCAAGACCAAAGAGGGGGACCUUCGGGCCUCUUGCCAUCGGAUGUGCCCAGAUGGGAUUAGCUUGUUGGUGGGGUAACGGCUCACCAAGGCGACGAUCCCUAGCUGGUCUGAGAGGAUGACCAGCCACACUGGAACUGAGACACGGUCCAGACUCCUACGGGAGGCAGCAGUGGGGAAUAUUGCACAAUGGGCGCAAGCCUGAUGCAGCCAUGCCGCGUGUAUGAAGAAGGCCUUCGGGUUGUAAAGUACUUUCAGCGGGGAGGAAGGGAGUAAAGUUAAUACCUUUGCUCAUUGACGUUACCCGCAGAAGAAGCACCGGCUAACUCCGUGCCAGCAGCCGCGGUAAUACGGAGGGUGCAAGCGUUAAUCGGAAUUACUGGGCGUAAAGCGCACGCAGGCGGUUUGUUAAGUCAGAUGUGAAAUCCCCGGGCUCAACCUGGGAACUGCAUCUGAUACUGGCAAGCUUGAGUCUCGUAGAGGGGGGUAGAAUUCCAGGUGUAGCGGUGAAAUGCGUAGAGAUCUGGAGGAAUACCGGUGGCGAAGGCGGCCCCCUGGACGAAGACUGACGCUCAGGUGCGAAAGCGUGGGGAGCAAACAGGAUUAGAUACCCUGGUAGUCCACGCCGUAAACGAUGUCGACUUGGAGGUUGUGCCCUUGAGGCGUGGCUUCCGGAGCUAACGCGUUAAGUCGACCGCCUGGGGAGUACGGCCGCAAGGUUAAAACUCAAAUGAAUUGACGGGGGCCCGCACAAGCGGUGGAGCAUGUGGUUUAAUUCGAUGCAACGCGAAGAACCUUACCUGGUCUUGACAUCCACGGAAGUUUCCAGAGAUGGAAAGGUGCCUUCGGGAACCGUGAGACAGGGGCUGCAUGGCUGUCGUCAGCUCGGGUUGGGAAAUGG